AACCUUGAAUGUGCUUGUGAACCACCAACCAGGAUCCACGUAAAACCAGGGGCAGUUUCAGGACUUUUUCUAAAGUAAAUGUGCUCACUUCCAAAGAAAAGAGACAUGUGGUCAGGUCACCCAUAUUUUUAGGAUUCUGGCAUCACCUUAGUUUGAUUUUACUCACUUUUUAUGUUCCAAAAACCGAUGUGUCAAAGCCUGCUCUGUUGAGCCUGCGGCUUUAUAUGAGGCUGAUUCAAACCAGAAAAUGCUUUGGUGCAUCAUAAUAACGACUUAAAAAGUUAUAAUUGUGACAGAAAAUUCUAAAUUGACAUAUAUCUUAAUUAGGACAAAAAGUCAAAUUUAUGAGAUUUUAAAAAAGUCAUACUAAAUUAUAAUUCUGAGAUUGACCCUUCAGAGCAGUUCUUUCGGAUGGAACGCAGGGUGUCACGCCAAAAAACGUCCUUCUGCAAAGGAUCAUGGAUCCCUUUUGAAGAGCUCUUUCAUCUUACACCAGUCCCAAACAAUAAGACAAAUUUGAGAGCAUUCCCAACCUUGUGGUCCAAUUUUAGGCCUUUUGUUAGAGCUGUCCGCAAGAACGCUGUACGAAUGAGUCCACCUAGCAGUAAUGCUGACUCACUGGGGCGGUGUUGCCUUCCUGGCUGUCUAUGAUGUACUUCCUCAGAGCAAAGCGUUCCUGCUUCCCAAGGUUGCCUUUCCUGGUUGACCUUCGGCUCAGCUUCCACGAUGGGGUUCGUCACACCCUUCCAGGAACCAAACGGCUACCAAGGGUCUGUGGAAGAUAUAACUCUUCUGAAGGGAUAUGAUGACGUCUGCUCGACGACCACGCCUCGAAACCCUGACAGCUAGCGUUAGCAUUGGCUAAAGCACCGAGCUCUGGCGGUCCUCCAAUGAAUGAUGUUGAAGGUGGACAGAAGGUGGCCUCCUCCUACGGCUGGGUCUGGAUGAGAGGAGCAGCUGUGACCGGCCUCCUCACUCUUAACCCUGUGAAGCCCGGCAUAUGAAACAUAUAAAAAUAUGGAGCUGUUUAUGGAAGAUUUGGACAAUGCAUUACUAUCGAUUUUGACAGUCCACUUAAGACAUUCUACAAAGCAAGUAACUAAAUGUCUUACUUACUGUUAGUAGAAUAUCUAUCAAAAUAAAGUUUGCGUAUGUGUUUCUAUCAGGCUUUCAGGGUCAUGAAGAAAAAAACAGCUCACUUUUAUCCAGAGGCAACAAUUCUGAUGUUUUUAAUGUAAAAACGAAAGGAUGAAACAUAUAAAGCAGUGCUGACGGAGAGCUGAGGAAAUAAAGGCUCCUCAGAAGAUGUGAGAUGUUUUGGAGAUCAUUGCUCCGCUGAGGAACAGCGAAAGUAAAGAUGUGAUGAUCAGACUCUUCUAGAAAGUGACUGAUGGAGAAUCGAGUGAAGCUGUUCAUCUGGAGAUAUGACCGCAGUUAUUCUGACCUUUACUUGAUCAGAAUCAGUCCAGAUGCGGCAGAAAACUACUCUACGGCUUUAACUAGUCCACAGAAGGGACACAGAAACAGCAAAACUGAUCAGAUAUGAUGCAGCAGGCUUUAUAAGGUUAAAGCGUGUCCCUCUCCUUCUCGUGCACAGGAUGGCUUUAUUGCAGGACACCUGGGAAUCUCGUUGGAUCGCGAUCACUCGUUUCACUCGUUUCACUUUUAUUGUAUCCUGCUUUUUGAAUGGGAUAUAUUCUGACUGGACGCUUUCAGGCCCACCUGCCAUCUCCCGCUCAUUGGUCAGAGGACAGGGAGGUGAGGAACAGGGAUAUUCUGGAGUCGGAGCCCGGGGCUUUUCCUUCCUGUGGUUUAAUGGCUCACUGACGGUGACCGGCUUUCAUCUGAGCGGGUGAAUAUCUCACACAGAUCCGCCUGAGAUGAUGCACAACCCCCGGGGAAGUCCAGGGAAAUCAGGCCGGAUGACAGGAUAUGCUCAGGG